GGCAGACCAGCCCAAACAACACAAGAAAGAGCACUUGGGUUCAUUUGAAUUCACUUACUGAAAAGGACUUUUUAAAAUUAUUUUUAAAAGGUGAAAAGAGGACAACCACAUACAAAAAAGAACUGUGAGGUACUGAAGAAAAGAAGAUUGAAGAAAAAUUCUGAAAGUCUGAAGGUACUUUGAAAAGGUCUGAUCAAGAAGACUGGCCAUGGAGGUGGAUUACAAACAACCACCGCCAGACUAUGAUGACGUUGUUACCCAGCAGCACACAAGCAACACUCAGCAGAGCAGGGUUGAUAAGAAGCAGGGAGAGGGUGGCUGUAUGCGAUGCUGCAUGAGUACUAAGAGAUGUUUGAUGAGUGCGGAGUGUGGUCGGGCUCUCAACAUUGCCAGCGUGGUUGCCAUGUGUGGGAUGUGUAUCCGAAUGUUUGUCUAACAGAGUCUCACAUCCAGUGGUGACUAUCCCAAUUUAAGAAACAAUGACAUUUGCUUUGUACCUAAACCUAGCGAGCUGCCUACUAUUUAAGCAACAUUUAAAAGUCUCUAAAUGCAAAGGCUGUUCCAAAUAUGUAUAGAUGCUGCCCAUGUUUGACAAACAUCAUUAGAAUAUAGUUGUGUAUAAUUAAAAUUUCCCCAUUUCACCAAAUAUAUUCACCAAUGUAUUGUUCUGCAUUUUCUACUGUAGCAUUGAGUUGUUAGCUUAGCAGCAUGCUAAUGUCAAACUCUAUUAAAAUGAGUGUUAAUUGAGUAUCUUGUGCUUCAUUUAAAGAGCACAAGUUGUGUUUCACGCUUAAGUGACCUAUAACAUAGUUGCUGCUUAUUUGGAACAUUUUAAGUAACUUUGGAGCUUCUAAUGGUGAGUGUGGAGUGUGGCCAUGCUCUCAACAUUGCCAGCGUGGUUGCCAUGUGUGGGAUGUGUAUCCGAAUGUUUGUCUGUAAGUUCUUAGGAUGACAAAUUAAUAUGUGUUUUUAUAUUACAGUGGCCUCCAAAAAGUAUUUUGACACUUACGGUAUACAAAGGGAUAGUGAAAAUUUCUGUCAUUAUUUACUCACCCUUAUGUCAUUCCAAUCCUGUAUGAUAUAUAGAAUAUAGUUGUAUAUAAUUACAAUUUCCCCAUUUCACCAAAUAUAUUCACCAAUGUGUUGUUCUGCAUGUUCUACUGUAGCAUUGAGUUGUUAGCUUAGCAGCAUGCUAAUGUCAGACUCUAUUAAAAUGAAUGUUAAUUGA